ACAAAGAAAUUAUGAUGUUGUAUGAAACAAAGAUAAAAAAGAAUGUCAUGGUAAGCAACAAGAAGAUGCAAGUCACUUUAUGCAGGCAACAAAACGCCCAAUAAAUUAGCGGUAUACAAGUCACAGAUUCCACUUGUAUCAGUCACAGACAUAAUUUAUCAGGCCGGUCAUAUCAA